rfam:Brachypodium distachyon strain Bd21 chromosome 4, whole genome shotgun sequence.
CAUGUACUCCUUCCGUCCCAUAUUAAAUAACUCGAAUUUAUCCAAAUAUGGAUGUAUCUAUGUCUAAAACGCGUCUAGAUAUAUGUACUAGAAAGUCAUUUAAUAUGGGACGGAGGGAGUAUUAC